rnacentral:rRNA from 1 species
CAGUAGCCACGGGAAUACGAAGGGGGCUAGCGUUGCUCGGAAUUACUGGGCGUAAAGGGUGCGUAGGCGGGUCUUUAAGUCAGGAGUGAAAUCCUGGAGCUCAACUCCAGAACUGCCUUUGAUACUGAAGAUCUUGAGUUCGGGAGAGGUGAGUGGAACUGCGAGUGUAGAGGUGAAAUUCGUAGAUAUUCGCAAGAACACCAGUGGCGAAGGCGGCUCACUGGCCCGAUACUGACGCUGAGGCACGAAAGCGUGGGGAGCAAACAGGAUUAGAUACCCCCGUAGUCCCUGUCUCUUAUAC